rnacentral:lncRNA from 1 species
UGUUAAGGCAAGCUUCGAAGUUGCGACAUGGUAGCAGUGGAAAAUGAAGAGAGACCAUUCAGCUCAGUCAGUCAACAGGAUCUCAAGGGAGAGCGAGGAUUGAAAAGAAGACAGACAACCCUGUAACAUGACUCCAGCCAGUGCUGAGGCUGAAGCAGGUCUAUUUUUCUCAAGCCUGCUUUUAUACCAUUUUAAGUACAUGCCAAUAAUAUGGUCAGUUCUAGGUCAAGGAAUACACAAGCUAAUAAGCAAAGUCCAGGAAUCAUAGUUUUAAGGGGCUUAUCAGCAGGACUUAGAUAACUCCUUGGCUGAGUUUACCUGGAGCUUUGUAUUAGCCCAAAUGUAACUAUUCUAUUCUGAGCCUACUUCCUAAGUCCUAGCCCAAAGUCAGAUUCCUACCUGAGCCUACUUCCAUGUCCUUGUUCAAUGUCAAAUUCCUGCCAACUCCCUACAGAAUGGCAGAAAGCACAAAAUCUAGCUGAAGCAAUCUCCUUCAAAG